UACGAAGGGGGCUAGCGUUGUUCGGAAUUACUGGGCGUAAAGCGCGCGCAGGCGGUCUUCCAAGUCAGUGGUGAAAGCCCGGAGCUCAACUCCGGAACUGCCAUUGAAACUGUAAGACUUGAGGAUGAGAGAGGUGAGUGGAAUUCCCAGUGUAGAGGUGAAAUUCGUAGAUAUUGGGAAGAACACCGGUGGCGAAGGCGGCUCACUGGCUCAGUUACUGACGCUCAGGCGCGACAGCGUGGGGAUCAAACAGG
rnacentral:rRNA from 1 species